rnacentral:rRNA from 1 species
GACGUAGGUGGCGAACGUUAUCCGGAAUUAUUGGGCGUAAAGGGUGCGUAGGUGGCCUGACAAGUUAUCAGUGGCAAAUCGAGGCUCAACCUCGUGGAAACUGGUAAUACUGUCCGGCUUGAGUGCAGGAGAGGUUAAUGGAACUCUAUGUGGAGCGGUAAAAUGCACAGAUAUAUAGAUGAACAUCAAUAACGGCGAAGGCAGUUAACUAGUCUGUCACUGACACUGAGGCACGAAAGCGUGGGGAGCAAAACGG